rnacentral:rRNA from 1 species
CCAGACUCCUACGGGAGGCAGCAGUGGGGAAUAUUGCACAAUGGGGGAAACCCUGAUGCAGCGACGCCGCGUGAGCGAUGAAGUAUUUCGGUAUGUAAAGCUCUAUCAGCAGGGAAGAAGAUGACGGUACCUGACUAAGAAGCCCCGGCUAACUACGUGCCAGCAGCCGCGGUAAUACGUAGGGGGCAAGCGUUAUCCGGAUUUACUGGGUGUAAAGGGAGCGUAGACGGCGAUGCAAGCCAGAUGUGAAAGCCCGGGGCUCAACCCCGGGACUGCAUUUGGAACUGUGUGGCUGGAGUGUCGGAGAGGCAGGCGGAAUUCCUAGUGUAGCGGUGAAAUGCGUAGAUAUUAGGAGGAACACCAGUGGCGAAGGCGGCCUGCUGGACGAUGACUGACGUUGAGGCUCGAAAGCGUGGGGAGCAAACAGGAUUAGAUACCCCAGUA